AAUAUAUGCAAUAACUCCCCAUAAUACAUUUUCGAUGGCCCGCUUCGGCGUUAAAAGCUAUUCUAAUAGGCACGACUGUAAAAUCGAUUUAUUUACGGCAAACAUACGUUUAAUGCGUUUAGACAAAUCUUUAGAUGUAAUGAAAUGCAUCCCGGCUCACAACACGAGAACUAGUCUAAACGGCAAUGGGCAGAACACCGCGGUAACACCUGUGUGUGGUGUAGGGCGUGAACGGAGACCACCGGGCAAAACAGGGGAAAACCGGAUUUACAAUCUAAUUCCGCCGCGUCUCAUUAUUCAAACAACCUUUUGUUGUUGUUGUUGUUGUUGUUAUGGGAACACGUGUCAGGUUCUUUAGCGAGUAAAAGCCUAAACGUACACAAAACAGUAUGGUAUUUAAAGCAGAUUUCAACUUUUAGGGGGAAAAAAGAAAUGCUGUAAUACAAAACAAACAAACAAAAGAUUCUAGUAUCUCACGUCAACGCACACGUCCCAAGCACAAUGUGUUGUUUAUGCAGCCCCAACAGUGCUUGUUGAUGCGUGCAUUCUUUACGGAAAUUGCAACAAUAAUCAUAGUACGAGGCCCACACUAGAGUACAAAGACGUCUCUGCGCACACACAAUCAUACAAAUAAAACCUUAUACUAAUACUGCAGAUCAGAUCGUCGUUGUCUAGUACCCUGUAAGACCCUCGGCAAUAAUAAUAAUAAUAAUAAUAAUAAUAAUAAUAAUAAUAAUAAGCAUUCCGUGUCUAUUGGAAUUUGAAAAUGGACUGGAAAAACCUCUAAACGCAUCGGAGUUCGAGUCGGGGCUGAGCUGCCGAGCUGCCGCCUCACAGCAACAGGAGCAGAGCGACCCAUCUCGGCGCUCUUCAGCGACCACGGCGCUGUCCGAGGUCCUGAAAGGACUGAGGCAAUUUCGGAGAAGACUGGACCCUCUUAGAAAGGAAUAGUCCAGUCUUGACACUGCGGUGCAAAGUGGCCAAACAUCUGGAAAUAGCAGUGAUACAGCAUCACACUGAAUGAGGAAAUGAUCUUCACUCUAACCUUUGCCAUUACCGUAUAUUGCCGGUAUUAAUAUAUUGUCAUUUCUGUAAACAUGGAUGUUUCCUACUGUAUAUACCAUUAGCACCGAUAUAUAAAAAUGUUAGUUUAUGAGCACGUCACUCAUUUUGCAGGACAUGUUUAUAGCUGGGCAGGGUAUACAUGUAUUCUCCUACAACAGCAUGAAUGUUCUGUAGCCUCUGACCAUGACCUCACUGAUGUGCCAUACUGUACCUCUAGUGACUGGUGUGCCCUGAGAGAGCUUCUCAUGCCUCUCUGAAAGUAGCUUUUAUCACCGGCAAAUCAGUAUCCUUAAAUCCUUAAUUCACGUUAGCAGGCACUCUAUAGUAUGUAUUAAAAAUAAUAAAUAUCGGUCUGCUUUCUUUUAGUGUUCACUACUUGACAGAUGAAUUAACUGUAAGAUCUGCAGAAAGACUAAUUGUUGUGAGACUUUCUGGCACAUGAAAGUAACAGCGAUAGCAGAAAUCUCUUUCUGUCUUUCUCGCGCCUGUUAAUUUUAAACCUAAUGUUUGAGAGGCUCGGAAUUUUCCAGUGUUCUUAGUUCAAUAAGGAUGAGGAGAUAUUGUUGAACGUUACUGCUAUUACAGCAGAUCAUUGAUACCGCAAAGGGCAUGUUGGCUUGUGAAGAGCUGUUCGAACAGAAUUCGUGGUAUGACACUGCUUUGAAAAUGAGUUGCCGAGUAAGUUACACAACUAUCGGAACAGGAAAAAUAGGACACUCACAUCACAUUUUCGCUCAACAGCAAUAUACAGUAACAGAAAUGAAUUAUCGGGGAGCAUAAUUAGGUAAAUUCCUCUGAUCACAGAACACAU